CCUAGUGGCGGACGGGAGCGUAACACGUGGGAAUCUACCUUAUAGUGGGGGAUAACUUCUGGAAACGGGAGCUAAUACCGCAUACGCCCUACGGGGGAAAGCGGAGGACCUUUCGGGGCUUCGCGCUAAUGGAUGAGCCUAAGUCGGAUUAGCUUGUUGGUGAGGUAAAGGCUCACCAAGGCGACGAUCCGUAGCUGGUCUGAGAGGACGAUCAGCCACACUGGGACUGAGACACGGCCCAG
rnacentral:rRNA from 1 species